rnacentral:rRNA from 1 species
AACGAACGCUGGCGGCAUGCCUAACACAUGCAAGUCGAACGAGACCUUCGGGUCUAGUGGCGCACGGGUGCGUAACGCGUGGGAACCUGCCCUUAGGUUCGGAAUAACUCCCCGAAAGGGGUGCUAAUACCGGAUAAUGUCUUCGGACCAAAGAUUUAUCGCCUUUGGAUGGGCCCGCGUUGGAUUAGCUAGUUGGUAGGGUAAAAGCCUACCAAGGCGACGAUCCAUAGCUGGUCUGAGAGGAUGAUCAGCCACACUGGGACUGAGACACGGCCCAAACUCCUACGGGAGGCAGCAGUGGGGAAUAUUGGACAAUGGGCGAAAGCCUGAUCCAGCAAUGCCGCGUGAGUGAUGAAGGCCUUAGGGUUGUAAAGCUCUUUUACCCGGGAUGAUAAUGACAGUACCGGGAGAAUAAGCUCCGGCUAACUCAGUG